UAGUCAGUGGCGCUGAUGAGAGUGGCGGCGAGACAUUUCGUUAGUGUUACUGCUUCUAUCACCGCUCUCCAAACUUCAUAAAACUGAAGAUUGUUUGGUUUCUCUUCGCUCAUGGUGGGAUGUGUAGCAGGGGCCGGGUCCUGAAGAUUGUGGCGGUGGGUGACGGCGCUGUCGGUAAGACCUGCCUUCUCGUGGCCUACACUCAGG